ensembl:lncRNA
CUGUGUACCAAGCUGUGUCAUCACACGCAUUCCCAGGCUGUGCACCAUAGAUUUCAACAGUGAACUUUUCAGCUUUCUAUUAUAUAAAUAUGUUACAGAAGAGAGAGUACCCUUGAGACCUGUGAACUGCUCAGCGAUUACUUCUUUUCAUUUUCAGACUUACAAUUUUUCCUCUCAACAAAUGAAAGAAACAAGAGAACCUGAAGCAGUGUUCAAUUGUUGUUCAAAAUAUUUCACAUGGAGAUGAGCCUAUUCACUCAUUAUAUGACUAUUCAGUGAAGGCACCGAUGUAAUACAUAUUUUGAAAUCUGGUUUUUAUCCUUUGACUUACUCAUGUUUGAAUCCAAGAGUUGUUAGAAGAAACCUGCUGAAAGUGAUUGGAGGCUCCAAUCCGGAGUAUAUUUUAAAUCACUGGAGCCAAAGUCUCUUUAUGCUCAAUCA